CAACUUUUGUAAUAAUAGGAAGCUAGUUACAGUAAACAGUGGUAAAUAACACACUCAUAAAAUCCAGCGGGGAAUAAAUGAUUUGUUCUUAUACAGAAAAACAAAAAAAGGAGACAUUUCUUUAUUUUUAAAUAAUGUUGUGCUCCACCCACACUGUCUCCAGUAUAUCCCAUAACAGUGUUGGCUUUUGAGAAAAAUGCAUAUAAUGACCAGACUCAGGCUCCUCAGUCUUCUUGCACAGAAGCAUGACCAGAUAAUAAAACAAAGAUGCUGGCUUACCAAAAGAUUCACAACGAACUGUUUGUGACACAUUCAUUCACCACUCACUUUCUCCACUUUUUACAUCUAGCAAGAGUUUGGCGACUAGAUUUAUUCCUGAUUAGUGCUGGUGAGAAUGAAAACAGAAUGAGCACAAUACUAUUUCUAUCUGUGCCCAGUAUAUAUAGUACACUACUUACAAAAUAUUUAUCCGUGUUUCCUCCCACCCACUACUUUGUUACAUUCAUCACUGCCUGGGAGGAGAGGUAGAAGACACAGCAGCUAUAUGGAGAUUGGAAGGGAUGUUUACUUGAAGGAGAUUUGCUGUGAUUUAUAAAAAAAAUAAAAUAAUAAUAAUAAUAAACUUUUUAAAAGACUACUUUCCAACAUCUUUCUGGGAGUAAACAAGUUUACUUAUACUGAUAGAUUGUUCCAGUGCCCAUAAACAAUCUGUUGCCAUUUCCACUAUGAACAAUUUUUAUAAUUAGAAAGUUUUUACUUAGUCUCUCUUAUGGAAAAUUAAGCCCGCGAUGACUUCUCAUAUCCCCUGUGGACAGAGAGAAGUUUAUUCUCUGCCUUUCUGCAACAACCUUGUACAUGUUUGACAUCUCAUGUUUAUCCCCUGACCAACACCAAUUCUCCAUCUCUCUCUCCCCAGAUUUUCAGCCCUGGUGCUGGUCUCCACUGCAACUUUCCUCUCCUUACUUGCUUGAGCACAGUGCUGAAGACCAGACAGUGGCUCUCCAGGCAUAUAUGUAUCUGGGUGAUGUUGUGCAGCAAGUGACAGUGUCUAGGAAACAUCCCCAGAACAUCACAAAAAUAUCUGCGCUCCUGAUUUGGGGAGAGGAUGUGCUGCAUGGCCCAGAGGAAGCUCACGAGCAUCUCUCACCUGAGGAACCAGCCACCAAAUCUGUUGACAGUUUACAUGGUACACAGGAGGCAACUCUGCCCUGGGCAGUUCUUUGGGCUCCAUGAGCACGAGCUUGUUCAGACACGACUCCUGGGGACAGAACUGCUGGCUGGAUUGCUGGACACACCAACAGCAAAGGGAAAUGUUCUCCUCCUUAAUCCAUACACGAGGCGGUAAUGCAGGUACUGUGUUCUCCCUGGGUGCUAAUACAGCUUCAUGAUGUUACUGCAUCGUGAAGCAGAGGCAAAGCAGAAUACCCUUGGCUCACUGUGCUGCCUCUUACGUCUCCCUGAAGCCCCUAACCCAGCGCUGACUGGCAUAGGAAAUGGCUGAAGCCACAGCAGUUGCACUUUUAAGAAACACCUAUUCAUUUC
rnacentral:lncRNA from 1 species